rnacentral:pre_miRNA from 1 species
AAUAAGUACAGUUUUGCACUGUUCAUGUCUAAUGUUUGACCGUUUAUCUUAUUUGAAAUUUUUAUGAUUAAUAUUUUUAUUGUUAUUAGAUGAUAAAACAUGAAUAGUACUUUACGUGUGACUAUUUUUUUUUCAAUUUUUUCAUAAUUUUUUAAAUAAUACGGACGGUUAAACGUUGUACACAGAUACCUACAACUGUAAUUAUU